GCUACUAUUUUUAGACUCUUCAUGUUUGCAAUGAUAUGAUGUACACCCAAACUUAGUUCAAUAUGGUUCAUAUGAAUUGUUAUAUUAAUUUUGUUUAAAUUUUCCAAAUAAGAAUUGAAAACAAUUUUAGUAUUGCCUACAAUUCUUGAAACAUGAUGUGUAACCAUUGUCCUAUUUUUACCAGAAGAAGCCAUUAUGUGCAAUCCAAAGAUGAUCUUGUAUGCACUGCUUAGUAAAUAAGAAAUGCUAGUGUUCCUUGUGUCUACCUUUCCUGACCUAGAGAGUCAGUUAAUUCAAGUAGAUUCCUCAUUCGAAGGCAACAUUGCUUGUAUCGUAACAUUACUUAUCAGCUCAGGAGAUUAUCUCAAACUACUAUAAUAUUGGUCCUUAAUUCUUUACAAAUUGUCAUUCUGAGUCAAGUUAGGCUCCUGUGUAAGGUUCAGUAAUUGCUUUUCUUAAGCUUUUCUUUCUUGGUAUACAUGUCAUGCUGAAAUACCAGGAAAAGCAAAUGCCUGUUGAUAUUGAAGGAAUAGCCUCAAAUACAGAAGUCUCAGCAGAUUCAGUUGUAAUGUAUGUCAUUGAAAAAAUGGCCACAGUCAAAUUAGUAGCGUUCAAAUACUCAUAUGGUGAAGGUCUGUCCAUGACUUGGUUCAUACAUUGGGCUCAAAAUUUUACCCUAAUCUUCACACUUUUGAACAUGGAGUUACCUUACUUCAGCCUCUGCAUUAGAAUUGGAUUUUCUUCCAAUGCUCUGUAUUACAAGAUUUUUAUUGGAUGCCAGCGUGAAAAGAGGCAGGACUUAAUAGCAUCCCUGUUUACUGUUCAGUCAGAAUGUGGAUGAAGAUCUUCCUACGGUGGGCGGUAAUCAUUGGAAACUUAAAAGAGGUUCAAGCCUUUUCCCGCCGUGAAUACCGGCUUUCGAUGCAGAGCUUGAUAUCUUG
rnacentral:lncRNA from 1 species